UUCAUGACCUGAAAAAAAUCAUUAAAGGAACCUGAUGCUACUUUGCUGAAAAUGACUCACUGAGUACGGGUGAGAGCUGAACUACCCACGCAUGCGUUAUUAUUAUAUUUUUUUUGGAGGUAAAACGCUGCUCAGAGUGAUCGGGCUGUCUGUAACGAAAUAAUUCUGCUGUGCUCUUCAGGUGUGCGACACACAGGGUUCGGAGACGCUGGAUGAUCGCUACGGCGCGGCGUUCCGCUACGUCAAUGAAGAGUGGCUUUCGUACGAGACGGCACAUCUGCUGACCAUGAAGAUGCGGGCUGCCAAGAGGCUGCACCCGUCUUUCUGCGUCGCCGUGUUCAACGUUGACUACGACGCACCUGGAACGCAGUGUUCAAGAAAGCGGGCAACACCCUUUGUUCACCUACACGCCAUCGCUGAUGGAGCUGGUUACAAGAAAGUUGUGGAAGACGAGAAAAAAGGUGAGAUACCUGAGC